GUUUUUAUAGUGUAAUAUAACAUACUACUUUUUCAUAGUAAAGCUGAAAUUAAAGAUUUCUAAAAAUA
rnacentral:tRNA from 2 species